rnacentral:rRNA from 1 species
GAUGAACGCUGGCGGCGUGCUUAACACAUGCAAGUCGAACGAAGCACCUUGAUUUGCUUCUUCGGAUGAAGAUCUUGGUGACUGAGUGGCGGACGUGUGAGUAACGCGUGGGUAACCUGCCUCAUACAGGGGGAUAACAGUUAGAAAUGACUGCUAAUACCGCAUAAGACCACAGCACCGCAUGGUGCAGGGGUAAAAACUCCGGUGGUAUGAGAUGGACCCGCGUCUGAUUAGGUAGUUGGUGGGGUAACGGCCUACCAAGCCGACGAUCAGUAGCCGACCUGAGAGGGUGACCGGCCACAUUGGGACUGAGACACGGCCCAAACUCCUACGGGAGGCAGCAGUGGGGAAUAUUGCACAAUGGGGGAAACCCUGAUGCAGCGACGCCGCGUGAGCGAUGAAGUAUUUCGGUAUGUAAAGCUCUAUCAGCAGGGAAGAAAAUGACGGUACCUGACUAAGAAGCACCGGCUAAAUACGUG